UACGUAGGGUGCAAGCGUUGUCCGGAAUUAUUGGGCGUAAAGAGCUCGUAGGCGGUCUGUCGCGUCUGCUGUGAAAACUCAGGGCUUAACCCUGAGCUUGCAGUGGGUACGGGCAGACUAGAGUGCGGUAGGGGAGACUGGAAUUCCUGGUGUAGCGGUGAAAUGCGCAGAUAUCAGGAGGAACACCGGUGGCGAAGGCGGGUCUCUGGGCCGUAACUGACGCUGGAGGAGCGAAAAGCAUGGGGAGCGAACAGGAUUAG
rnacentral:rRNA from 1 species